rnacentral:rRNA from 1 species
GGAUCCUACGGGGGGCAGCAGUGGGGAAUAUUGGGCAAUGGGCGCAAGCCUGACCCAGCAACGCCGCGUGAAGGAAGAAGGCUUUCGGGUUGUAAACUUCUUUUGUCAGGGACGAAGCAAGUGACGGUACCUGACGAAUAAGCUCCGGCUAACUACGUGCCAGCAGCCGCGGUAAUACGUAGGGAGCAAGCGUUAUCCGGAUUUACUGGGUGUAAAGGGCGUGUAGGCGGGCCUGUAAGUCAGAAGUGAAAUCUGGGGGCUUAACCCCCAAACUGCUUUUGAAACUGCGGGUCUUGAGUGAUGGG